rnacentral:rRNA from 1 species
GGAGGUUAUCAAGGAGACAGGUGGUGCAUGGUUGUCGUCAGCUCGUGUCGUGAGAUGUUGGGUUAAGUCCCAUAACGAGCGCAACCCUUAUCGUUAGUUGCCAGCUGGUAAAGCAGGGGACUCUAGCGAAACUGCCACCGUAAGGUGAGAGGAAGGUGGGAUGACGUCAAAUCAGCACGGCCCUUAUGUCCAGGGCUACACACGUGUUACAAUGGCCGGCACAGAGGGCAGCUACCUGGUGACAGGAUGCUAAUCUCGAAAACCGGUCUCAGUUCGGAUCGAAGUCUGCAACUCGACUUCGUGAAGCUGGAUUCGCUAGUAAUCGCGCAUCAGCCAUGGCGCGGUGAAUACGUUCCCGGGCCUU